rnacentral:rRNA from 1 species
CGCCUGUUUUAUCAAAAACAUAGCCUUUAGCCCCUACAAGUAUUAAAGGUCCCGCCUGCCCAGAGAAACUUAUUUUUAACGGCCGCGGUAUUCUAACCGUGCAAAGGUAGCGUAAUCACUUGUCUUCUAAAUAAAGACCAGUAUGAACGGCUAAAUGAGGACAAGCCUGUCUCUUAUAAUUAAUCAGUGAAACUGAUCUCCCAGUACAAACGCUGGGAUAAACACAUAAGACGAGAAGACCCCGUGGAGCUUAAAACUAGCCACUAACACACCUAAACCCUAGUGUCCUGUUUUGAGUUGGGGCGACUUCGGAACAAAACAAAACUUCCGAGCACAGAACCACCACUUCCAACUAAGGCCAACAAGCCUAAGUACAAUCUGACCCGGCUCCACUGCCGAUCAACGAACCAAGUUACCCCGGGGAUAACAGCGCUAUCUUCUUCAAGAGUCCCUAUCAACAAGAAGGUUUACGACCUCGAUGUUGGAUCAGGACACCCAAAUGGUGCAGCCGCUAUUAAAGGUUCGUUUGUUCAACGAUUAACAGUCCUACGUGAUCUGAGUUCAGACCGGA